rnacentral:rRNA from 1 species
UACGAAGGGGACUAGCGUUGUUCGGAAUUACUGGGCGUAAAGCGCGUGUAGGCGGUCCGGUAAGUCCGCUGUGAAAGUCGGGGGGCUCAACCCUCGGAUGCCGGUGGAUACUGUCGGGCUUGAGUACGGAAGAGGCGAGUGGAAUUCCUGGUGUAGCGGUGAAAUGCGCAGAUAUCAGGAGGAACACCGGUGGCGAAGGCGGGUCUCUGGGCCGAUAUCGACGCUGAGGAGCGAAAGCGUGGGGAGCGAACAGG